GGUCGGAUGGUGUAGUUGGUCAUCACGUCAGUCUAACACACUGAAGGUCCCAGUUCAAGCCUGGGCUCGAUCA
rnacentral:tRNA from 1 species